rnacentral:tRNA from 1 species
GGGGUUGUAGCUCAGUGGUAGAGCACCUGCCUAGCCUGCAUGAGGCACUAUGUUUGAUCCUCAGCACCA